rnacentral:rRNA from 1 species
UACGUAGGGGGCCUAGCGUUGUCCGGAUUUAUUGGGCGUAAAGAGCUCGUAGGCGGUUCGGUAAGUCAGGUGUGAAAUCUCCACGCUCAACGUGGAGGCGCCACCUGAAACUGCCGUGACUAGAGUCCGGUAGGGGAGUGUGGAAUUCCCCGGUGUAGCGGUGAAAUGCGCAGAUAUCGGGAGGAACACCAGUGGCGAAGGCGGUCUCCUGGGGCAUUCUUGACGCUGAUGCGCGAAAGCUGGGGGGAGCGAACGGG